CUCAGGCAGGCCUAUGCUCGAUACAUUAGCAUGGAAUAAUAGAAUAGGACGUGUGGUUCUAUUUUGUUGGUUUCUAGGACCGCCGUAAUGAUUAAUAGGGACAGUCGGGGGCAUCAGUAUUCAAUUGUCAGAGGUGAAAUUCUUGGAUUUAUUGAAGACUAACUACUGCGAAAGCAUUUGCCAAGGAUGUUUUCAUUAAUCAGGAACGAAAGUUAGGGGAUCGAAGACGAUCAGAUACCGUCGUAGUCUUAACCAUAAACUAUGCCGACUAGGGAUCGGACGGUGUUAUAUUUUGACCCGUUCGGCACCUUACGAGAAAUCAAAGUGCUUGGGCUCCAGGGGGAGUAUGGUCGCAAGGCUGAAACUUAAAGAAAUUGACGGAAGGGCACCACCAGGGGUGGAGCCUGCGGCUUAAUUUGACUCAACACGGGGAAACUCACCAGGUCCAGACACAAUGAGGAUUGACAGAUUGAGAGCUCUUUCUUGAUUUUGUGGGUGGUGGUGCAUGGCCGUUCUUAGUUGGUGGAGUGAUUUGUCUGCUUAAUUGCGAUAACGAACCGAGACCUGA
rnacentral:rRNA from 1 species